AUUGAACGCUGGCGGAAUGCUUUACACAUGCAAGUCGAACGGUAGAGGGGGCAACCCCUCGAGAGUGGCGAACGGGUGAGUAAUAUAUCGGAACGUGCCCAGUCGGGGGGGAUAACGUAGCGAAAGUUACGCUAAUACCGCAUACGAUCUAAGGAUGAGAGCGGGGGAUCGCAAGACCUCGCGCGAUUGGAGCGGGCGAUAUCAGGUUAGGUAGUUGGUGGGGUAAAGGCUCACCAAGCCAACGAUCUGUAGCUGGUCUGAGAGGACGACCAGCCACACUGGAACUGCGACACGGUCCAGACGCCUAGGGGAGGCAGCAGUGGGGAAUUUUGGACAAUGGACGCAAGUCGGAUCCAGCCAUUCCGCGUGCAGGAUGAAGGCCGUCGGGUUGUAAACUGCUUUUGUACAGAACGAAAAGGUCUCUCUUAAUACGGGGGACUCAUGACGGUACCGUAAGAAUAAGCACCGGCUAACUACGUGCCAGCCGCCGCAGUAA
rnacentral:rRNA from 1 species